CCAGACUCCUACGGGAGGCAGCAGUGAGGAAUAUUGGUCAAUGGGCGGGAGCCUGAACCAGCCAAGUCGCGUGAGGGAAGACGGUCCUACGGAUUGUAAACCUCUUUUGCCGGGGAGCAACGGGGUCCUUGCGAGGGCCCGAUGAGAGUACCCGGAGAAAAAGCAUCGGCUAACUCCGUGCCAGCAGCCGCGGUAAUACGUAGGUGGCAAGCGUUGUCCGGAUUUACUGGGUGUAAAGGGCGUGCAGCCGGAGAGACAAGUCAGAUGUGAAAUCCACGGGCUCAACCCGUGAACUGCAUUUGAAACUGUUUCCCUUGAGUGUCGGAGAGGUAAUCGGAAUUCCUUGUGUAGCGGUGAAAUGCGUAGAUAUAAGGAAGAACACCAGUGGCGAAGGCGGAUUACUGGACGAUAACUGACGGUGAGGCGCGAAAGCGUGGGGAGCAAACAGGAUUAGAUACCCGAGUAC
rnacentral:rRNA from 1 species